CCUAUUUGUCUGUCUCCGUACAGGCUUUUCCUUCUGGCUGGAAUGGACUCCUCUCGACUUCCCUUUUCUCACCUCUGCUUGAAAUAUGUGCACCUUUUCAUAAUGGGUGGGAGAAGGAAUGUUCUCUGGAGAAAUCUGUAUGAUAGAAUAGUGAAGGUAACUGGCCUGAACUACAGCUCUUGAGCCAUCUGGUUUCACCUUCAGGGAGGUCCCACUGAAGCUGAAUGACUGUGCAGGUUGAUACACUGGACAUUUUCGGUGAAACCUGUGUGAACAGACAACUGGAGGGUCAGAUGAUUUAUCCUCUCCCCAGUACCUUGGCACAAGCCUAGGCUACAGAAUGAGAUGCACGUAAGAAGUCUGUGACCUGGACCAGAGCAGCCCAGCUGAACACAUGCUGGAUUGGAAGAACCACCUUUGACCUGAAGACCUGUGAGUGAGAAUAAAUGCUGUUUGAGAAAGGAGUUUGGAGACAGAAAGACGGAAGAGUUGAUAUUCCGCUCACAGAUGUCAAUUUUCAAAGAAAUUUCUGCCCAUUAUGGAUGCACCACAAAUACUAAAGUCUAUGCAAUAUAUAUUUUGAAAAGAAUUUUUUUCGUGAAACUGUAAUUUUCGUUCAUAAGAGUAUAUUUCCUGACUUAGCAUUUUAUUGACUAGAUUAAAAUUUUGUUCCCCAAAGUAAGUGUGUGUGUGUGUGUGUGUGUGUGUGUGCACGCACACGUGUGUGUGCAUUCCUGAGGAUUAUUCUAAGGCUGAACUCCUUCAUAGAAAUGGAAUUUUUCUCUCUAUGCUCACAUUUUAAAACAGCUCACACAAGCCAGGCAGAAACUGCCAACCCCUUGGUUUCUAAUUCUUUGUGCUAGUUCUAUUAGAAGGGGCAAGUGUAAUCUGACAAUGGGAAACAAUACACCCUUUCUCAUAUUCUUUAUCAACAUACAUAAACUGGAAGAAAGAAAAAGAAAGAGAGGGGUACAGAGGGAGGAAAGGAGGAAGAAAAAAGAUAGGAGGGGAAGUAGGAAGAGAGGAGAAGGGGACUGUAGUGGGGGAAAGAGAGGAGAGACAGAAUCUUUCCACUAAAGUUAGCAUCUGAGAGAGAGGCCCACGGAAUUGAUUUUUUUUUUUUUAUCCCUUUGGCAAACCAGCAUUUGGUCUUUGCUUUGGUUAUCCUGAGAUAGUGCUUUGUUUACCUGAGCUAGCUGGCCAUCUCAGCUGUGACAAUUUAAAAUUAGGCCACUAUUUAUAAUUCAAGCUAUGUGUAAACAAAACAAAACACAAUACAACCAAUGAAGGAGGUUUGUUUGUUUGUUUUUUUAAAAGGUAGGGGCAUUUUGUAAAUCAGACAGAGAUAGCUUUCUUGAAUAAAAUGACAUUUUUAGUUAUUUCUUUGUCUUGAACUUUCUCCUGAGACACCUUCUGGCUCACUAGUCACGAGGAACUGAAGAGGAACUGAAGGAAUUCUAAACAUCCCCAAAGCCUCUAGUGAUUCUCCAGAUGUGUCUUUUCAAGAGGCUGGCGACUUGUAGGGAGGGUGGAUAUACCUUAAUUAUUCAGUCACUUUUAACGUUUUACCUAAACUAUUUGUCAAAUAAGUAGUUUUUGCAUUGCUUUAACUGUAUACAGCCAUCAUUUGAUUAUACAUUCUAUCAAAGAUUGAUUGCCUGAUUUCAGGUUUAAUUUUAAGAUUUAAAUGACUGACUCCUUAGCUUGCUCAGUUGUAUUCUUUGUCUCUGAUUACUUACUCCAUAGAACACUGCUUACCUUUAAAUAAAAUGUAUUAAACUCCUUUGUUUUCAGAAUCUCUAAUAUUCAUGCCUAUUGGGGAUUCAUACCCUAAUAACUUGGGCUACUAGUCUGUCAUAAAAUAUAAACUCCAGCCAUAUUAAAUAUGGUAGACUUGCCCUAAAAGUCAGAUUUAUACCUUCAAUAUACCAUGGAAUUUGUAAUACAAAUAAAUUCCUUUUUUUAUAUUGGUUUUAAAAUAAGAAAUUGUAGUCUCUUGAGUUCUAGAGUUUCUGUAAGAACAACAGAAGGAAUGCUCAGCUAAUGUUUAGUACCCAUAUGCUUCAUUAAAGUGACCAGAUGUCCUGCAUUUGUCAAGGGAAAAGGGGAAUUGUUUUCUUCUCUCUCAAAUAUCUCCUUCAAAAAGUCUAUCAUGGAUACAUUUUGUGCCUUCACUGCCCUUUUUAAAUAAUUAUUAUUCAUGCCUUACUAUAAGAACAUUACAACUGGUAACAAACUGCUUUUAAACUUGGGGUUUCAGAUUUUCUAAAG
rnacentral:lncRNA from 10 species